GCGGACGUUAGGUUCUAGUUAUUAUUAGAAAUAAAGCGUGGUAGCGCCAUACCCAAACAAUCGGCACGAAUAUAGUCUAAAACAACAAUUGAAAAUGAAUCGAGAACAUGUAAGCCAAAGGGGAGGGAGUGCCCAUGGUGAGCAAGGACACCCCCAACAUGAUUGCCUUUACGAAAGUCACCUCUCUUAAAGAGCUUCUGUGCCUCCUCGAUACAAGAAAGAUGUCGAAAAUCGUCAGGAGGAUCCCCAAGUAUAGCUGCAAUUAUUGCAGAUCUACCUUCUGAAAUCCCUUAUCCCAAGUAACCUGGAGACCAAAAAUCGCUCCUCACAGUUCAACUCAUGUAAUGGUACAUCUACCCAAAUUCGCAACAAAGCUAGCU
rnacentral:lncRNA from 1 species